rnacentral:rRNA from 1 species
GCUUGUCUCAAAGAUUAAGCCAUGCAAGUCUAUGUAUAAAUCUUUAUACGGUGAAACUGCGAAUGGCUCAUUAUAUCAGUUAUCGUUUAUUUGAUAAUCACUGCUACUUGGAUAACUGUAGUAAUUCUAGAGCUAAUACAUGCGCCCAGACCCAACUUUUAGGAAGGGUUGUAUUUAUUAGGUACAGAACCAAUGCAAGCUCCGCUUGACCUUUUGGUGAUUCAUGGUAACCGAACGAAUCGCACGGCACCAGCUGGCGAUGGACCAUUUCAGUUUCUGACCUAUCAGCUUCCGACGGUAGGAUAUGGGCCUACCGUGGCAAUGACGGGUAACGGAGAAUUAGGGUUCGAUUCCGGAGAGGGAGCCUGAGAAACGGCUACCACAUCUAAGGAAGGCAGCAGG